AUGUCAGAGCUUGCGGCGGGCGCCGUGAGCUCACUGCUGUCCGUCAUCCGCAGCGAGGCCCUGCUACUGGGUGGCGUCCGAGAUGACGUGCAGUUUAUCAAGGAGGAGAUGGAGAGCAUGAAGAGCUUCCUGGCGCACCUGGCCAGGUGGGCACCCCCCGGCGGCGAGCAUGACGAGCAGGUGCGCACCUGGAUGAACCAGGUGCGGCUGCUUGCCCAGGACUGCAACAACUGCAUCAACCUCUACCUCUACCGGGGGAACCCGGAUGUCCACCGCGCCAGAGGCGGACUCCGGCGCUACCUCUGGUGGGCAACCUGGUUCCUGCACAAGUUGGUUGCGCAGCACCGUGCUGCCGAGCAGCUGCGCCGGCUCAAGGAGCGGGCACGUGACGUCGGUGAGCGGCGGUUGAGGUAUGGUGUGGAGGUCCCGGCGAAGUCAGGGGAGGGGCAAUCGUCUCGGACGGCAGCAGCGACGACAAAGCAGACUGCUACACAAGGUAGCUAUGCUGCUGGGGACGGCGACGAGGACGAAGAUGGUGACUAUCAACUCGUGGGGGCAAUGGCGACCAACGGUCAUUCUGGUCGAAGAGCCUUCAUUGAGCCUCGCACUUUGGACGACUACGCGAAGGCAAAGCUAUGGGAGUGGAUACAUGGAAUCCCUUUAGGCGCCGGCGAAACUUUGUCCAUGGUGAUUGUGGCACCGUACACACAUCAGGACCUCCUCGCUCUUGUACAAGAAAUGUGGGUUUUGCCGCCGCCGGACGUCGUCUACCAUCGCAUUCUCUUGGUUGACAUCCCGGCCGUGCACCCGGAUUUUGUGCGGCUACGCCCCAAGGAAGUUCUCUUCUACAUUCUGCGUGAACUCAAGCAUGCUAAAUCCCACCAGCCCAAACCCCAGGAGCAACGCACAGAAGGCGAAGUGGAGGAGAAGAAUCUUGACCCCUGGGAAGUUUACAUAAGAAGAUUGCAAAUUUAUAGUGAAAAGAAGAGGGCUAUUGCGCUUCUUAAAAUCAAGGAGAAUAUCAAAGAGAUGAAGGUUUACGAAAAACUUGAGAAAAUCAAAAGUGAUAUUCAAGGUCGAGUGCUGAGGGGCGACAGACUUUCAAAGGGCGACAAGCUGCAGGGGGAGUUUGACCAGCUGGACCUAGAUGUACUCCUUGAGCUGAUGCUCCACGCAGCUGUUGAUGCGUCUCAACAAGGCCAAGGGAAGAAGAAAGACAUGCAUAGAUUACCACCAUGGGACAACAACAAUAUCAUCGUCAAGAAGCUUAAGGAGCAUAUGGAAGUAGAGGAAAAUGACAAGGUAGAAGAGGAAGAAGCAGUCAAGCACAUGGGGGUGGAACAAGGAGAAGAAGACACAGCCAAGCAUAGGGAAGAGGAAGGAGGAGAAGUAACAUGCACGCAUAUGGAGGAGGGGGGAGAAGUAACCAUACAUACAGAGGAAGGGAAAGGAGAAGUAACCAUACAUAGGGAGGAGGGGGAGGAAGGAGGUGGUGGAGGAGAAACAACAAAGCAUCUGGAGGAGGGGGAAGGAGAAGUAACCAUACACAGGGAGAAAGAGGAAGGGGGAGGAGGACAAACAUCUAAGCAUAUGGAGGGGAAAGGAGGAGGAAUCGAAAGUCAGCAAACGCCAUGGAUUCACCUCGACGAGGCACAAUAUGCACAGAUCUUGCGGAAGUUGUUCCCCAAGAGCAGCGGCAGCAAGCCCCUGCAGGCUCAAGACGGAUCGUUGGGCAAACAAGCUACAAAGACCACAACAGCUAUACUGGGUGAGGAUCAAAUCAAACAAAUGAUCCAUGAUGCAAAGGAAGACAUCUUACGGGAGCUGCAGGAAGGCAAAAAUGACAAUAGUGAAGCGACAGCCGAACCUGGUGUUCCGGAUCAAAGCCCAGAAACUAUUUCUGAAAAAAUCGGUCAGAUGAUGGACAAAAUAAAACAUGAAUUCAAAGAGCAGCUCAAGAUCAAAGGACUUGUGGAUGAGAUUAAACGUAACUUGAAUUAUGUUCCGGAGUGGAAUAAUUAUGAAGGUCCUCUGUUUAUCCUCAAAGUUGAUGAGCUGAUGGAUGUUUCCACAUGGGAGGAUACCAGAAAGGCUUUGAGCCUGCUAAACUGCAGCGCCGAUCUAAUGAUCGUCAACCCCACAAAGGACAUCCAGCUGGCUAAAGAAUAUUGCUAUCCACCGCGGGAACCUAUAGACUAUUCUCUUGAAGGCCUCUAUCAUGAUACAGUGCUCGAGCUUACUAGCCAACAGAAGAAUGAAGACAACUACAACCCCUAA
rnacentral:rRNA from 1 species